AUUGAACGCUGGCGGCAUGCCUAAUACAUGCCAGUCGAGCGGAGGAAGGGAGCGUGCGCCUGGAUUCAGCGGCGGACGGGUGAGUAAUUCCUAGGAAGCUGCCUGGUAGUGGGGGAUGAGGUCCGGAAAGGGGAGGUAAUACCGCAUACGUCAUGAGGUAGAAAGUGGGGGAUCUUGGGAGAUCACGCUAUCUGAUUAGCCUAGGUCGGAUUAGGUAGUUGGUGGGGUAGAGGCCUACCAAGGGGACGAUCCGGAACUGGACUGAGAGGAGGAUCAGGCAAACGGGAAUGGAGACACGGUCCAGCCUCCUACGGGAGGAAGAAGUGGGGAAUAUUGGACAAUGGGCGAAAGCCUGAUCCAGACAUGCCGGGUGUGUGAAGAAGGUCUUCGGAUUGUAAAGCACUUUAAGUUGGGAGGAAGGGCAGUAAGUUAAUACCUUGAUGUUUUGACGGUACCAACAGAAUAAGCAACGGCUAACUUCGUG
rnacentral:rRNA from 1 species